ensembl:lncRNA
AAGAAUUCGCUAUGCAAGGUGUUCAACCGUUGGGCAAAGAAACCGAAGCGGUUGGUGUGCUAGAAUCUAGCAUGCACUCCUUGAGCAUUGCUGAAGAGCAGCAGCAUGACUCUCUGGAUGAGGAGGAGGCGAAUUAUAUGAGGAAUAGCAUGUAAGUCUUGCACAUGAAACCAUCUUAGUUCGUGUUCUUUUGUGCUUCAAGUUUAUGGUGUUGUGGGUGUGUGUGUUUUGUAAAUCAUUUUUAUUUACAGUAUUGACAUGGAUGAUUGCUGGGAGGAUCCUAAUCAGAAGGGCUUGGAAGAAGAUCGGGACAGCUCUGAUGAAGACUAUAGUCCUUUUCUUCAUCUACGUGCCCCAGCUAUGACUGCCAACAUCAACCAACUCCUGGAG